rfam:Geobacillus sp. B4113_201601 NODE_7, whole genome shotgun sequence.
UGGGCUAUAGCCAAGCGGCAAGGCAACCGACUUUGACUUCCGUGAUGCGCUCGUUCGAAUCCAGCUAGCCGAG